rnacentral:rRNA from 1 species
ACGUAGGUGGCAAGCGUUGUUCGGAAUUAUUGGGCGUAAAGCGCGCGCAGGCGGCUUCUUAAGUCCAUCUUAAAAGUGCGGGGCUUAACCCCGUGAUGGGAUGGAAACUGGGAGGCUGGAGUAUCGGAGAGGAAAGUGGAAUUCCUAGUGUAGCGGUGAAAUGCGUAGAGAUUAGGAAGAACACCGGUGGCGAAGGCGACUUUCUGGACGACAACUGACGCUGAGGCGCGAAAGCGUGGGGAGCAAACAG